UCCACCGUGAGGUAGAAUCUGAAGGAAGCCGAAGGCAAAAUCUUGGUCUGAGGAAUACAAAUUACAUAUAAGGCUUACUAAGGGUGGAUGAGUUUGCAAUACAAAACCAAGUC
rfam:Clostridium tetanomorphum DSM 665 contig67, whole genome shotgun sequence.